AGAGUUUGAUCCUGGCUCAGAUUGAACGCUGGCGGCAGGCCUAACASAUGCAAGUCGAGCGGUARCASAGAGAGCUUGSUCUCGGGUGACGAGCGGCGGACGGGUGAGUAAUGUCUGGGAAACUGCCUGAUGGAGGGGGAUAACUACUGGAAACGGUAGCUAAUACCGCAUAACGUCGCAAGACCAAAGUGGGGGACCUUCGGGCCUCAUGCCAUCAGAUGUGCCCAGAUGGGAUUAGCUAGUAGGUGGGGUAAUGGCUCACCUAGGCGACGAUCCCUAGCUGGUCUGAGAGGAUGACCAGCCACACUGGAACUGAGACACGGUCCAGACUCCUACGGGAGGCAGCAGUGGGGAAUAUUGCACAAUGGGCGCAAGCCUGAUGCAGCYAUGCCGCGUGUAUGAAGAAGGCCUUCGGGUUGUAAAGUACUUUCAGCGAGGAGGAAGGCGUUAAGGUUAAUAACCUUGGCGAUUGACGUUACUCGCAGAAGAAGCACCGGCUAACUCCGUGCCAGCAGCCGCGGUAAU
rnacentral:rRNA from 1 species